AUUAAUCUAACCAAAAUUAAUACCAAUUAAUCUAACCAAAAGCACAUGUGAUUUGGAGGUCACAAGAUAAAUUUACAAGUGAUUAAAGUUUCAGGGUAAUUUUCGGUGAAUUUUUGGGCACACAUAUGAGUUUUUAAUGAAUUCUUAAGUUAAGCCAAUUAGAAAAUGACAUGUGUCGGCUUGCUAUUUGACUAUUUAAAAAAGAAUCAAAAUAAGAAGCGCUGGAUUGACGCGAGUCCUUCUUCUUCCUCGAAUUGCCUCUGCAACUUAACUUAAUCAAUUCUAAAAAAACUUUUGAAAAUUCAUAACUUUGAUGCUCAUGAGAUCAAGUACAACAAUCUAAGUUAAAUAUUUUGGGUCUUACACGCAGCAAACAAAACAACGUCUUUGAGGCAUUUAGUCAAACAAUUGGUGGGCACUAGCAAAAGGGCAAAUUCCGACAUCUCCAAGGAAGUUUCCGACGAGGGGAGGUGCUAAAGCUAGGUAGGUACAAGAAAAAUGAUGGCCUAAAUAAUAUGCUAUUUUGGACAUUCAACGAUAGAUAGAGACGAGUGGGAGCUUGUCUGCUCUUAGUCAUCCUCGUAGGGUAAAUAUUAAUUGACAAGGAGCCAGAAAGGAAACGUUCAACUUGUUGGCUGCUGUUCUUGUUAAAAAUUUCAAGUUGGGUUGGAUUCACAUUGUUCGACUGGAUUCUUCAAGGAAAAACCUUCUUGUAUGGGCUUAUUAGCUAACCCUGGCCUCCCCCUAAAAUGUAAGGACUUUUUUCUUUUUUCUCAUCGAAAGAAAAAGGGAAAAACCAACAACCUUUGAAUGAAGGAUUAGAUGUUCUCUCUCGGAUUGAAAUUCCAUGGGCG
rnacentral:lncRNA from 1 species